GUUUAAGACGCCAGUUUUGGCGGAGCCAUCCUCGGGCUACCACCCUUGUAGUACUGGGACUCUAACCAUAGUCCAUGAAUUUGGGCUUGGGACACUGUCAGGUGGGCAGUUUGACGGGGGCGGUCGCCUCCCAAAAGGUAACGGAGGCGCUCAAAGGUUCUCGCAGUACGGUCGGAAAUCGUACGUAGAGUGUAAAGGCAAAAGAGAGCUUGAUUGCAAGACAUACAGGUCGAGCAAGGAUGAAAAUCGGACUUAGUGAUCCGGUGGUUCUGCGUGGAAGGGCCAUCGCUCAACGGAUAAAAGCUACCCUGGGGAUAACAGGCUUAUCU
rnacentral:rRNA from 1 species